UACGUAGGCAGCGAGCGUUGUUCGGAGUUACUGGGCGUAAAGGGUGUGUAGGCGGUUGUUUAAAUUUGGUGUGAAAUCUCCCGGCUCAACUGGGAGGGUGCGCCGAAUACUGAAUGACUAGAGUGCGGGAGAGGUGAGUGGAAUUCCUGGUGUAGCGGUGAAAUGCGUAGAUAUCAGGAGGAACACCGGUGGUGUAGACGGCUCACUGGACCGUAACUGACGCUGAGACACGAAAGCGUGGGUAGCAAACAGG
rnacentral:rRNA from 1 species